AACGAACGCUGGCGGCGUGGAUAAGACAUGCAAGUCGAACGAGAGAAUUGCUAGCUUGCUAAUAAUUCUCUAGUGGCGCACGGGUGAGUAACACGUGAGUAACCUGCCCCCGAGAGCGGGAUAGCCCUGGGAAACUGGGAUUAAUACCGCAUAGUAUCGAAAGAUUAAAGCAGCAAUGCGCUUGGGGAUGGGCUCGCGGCCUAUUAGUUAGUUGGUGAGGUAACGGCUCACCAAGGCGAUGACGGGUAGCCGGUCUGAGAGGAUGUCCGGCCACACUGGAACUGAGACACGGUCCAGACACCUACGGGUGGCAGCAGUCGAGAAUCAUUCACAAUGGGGGAAACCCUGAUGGUGCGACGCCGCGUGGGGGAAUGAAGGUCUUCGGAUUGUAAACCCCCGUCAUGUGGGAGCAAAUUAAAAAGAUAGUACCACAAGAGGAAGAGACGGCUAACUCUGUGCCAGCAGCCGCGGUAAUACAGAGGUCUCAAGCGUUGUUCGGAAUCACUGGGCGUAAAGCG
rnacentral:rRNA from 1 species